GACGAACGCUGGCGGCGUGCUUAACACAUGCAAGUCGAACGGAAAGGCCUGCUUUCCCUUGUGGAUUGCGGGUACUCGAGUGGCGAACGGGUGAGUAACACGUGAGUGAUCUGCCCCCAACUUGGGUAUAAGCCUGGGAAGCUGGGUCUAAUUCCCGAUAGGACUGCAGGGUGGUGCCUGUGGUGGAAAACGAUUUUCUAGUGGUUGGGGAUGAGCUCGCGGCCUAUCAGCUUGUUGGUGGGGUAAUGGCCUACCAAGGCGGCGACGGGUAGCCGGCCUGAGAGGGUGGACGGCCACAUUGGGACUGAGAUACGGCCCAGACUCCUACGGGAGGCAGCAGUGGGGAAUAUUGCACAAUGGGCGGAAGCCUGAUGCAGCGACGCCGCGUGGGGGAUGACGGCCUUCGGGUUGUAAACUCCUUUCGACCGCGAGGAAGCCACCUGGUUGGAAGGGUGGUGACGGUAGUGGUAGAAGAAGCACCGGCUAACUACGUG
rnacentral:rRNA from 1 species